GGGUUGGCGAGGAUCGUCCGAUUUUCUGAGUCAGAAAUCUGACUUCAGGGGGGCGUUCCAGAUGAAUUUCCAACUCGGAGCUCGGAAAUUCCGACCUCUGAGUACAACUGGAAUGCAGCAUCGGCAAGUAAAGAGAACAAACAAGGAUAAGUGAGAAAGUUAAAAGCGUUGACACACAGCCUCUGUCUUUACAUCCUUAUAAGUGGGUUCACUGUGAGUUUGGGUGUGUGUGUGUAUUUCGUCUUCGUCUUUUGUUUUUUGACCUUCUCAUAGUUUUUCAGUUCUCUCAAGUGUUUUGGUUUUGUAGUGUUUGGAUUUAGAUUUUUGGUUGGACUUUUGAAAGUAAGAUAUGUCUCUCUUUUGCCUUUUCUGUCUGUUAAACAGUUUUUAAGUCUGCAUUUUUGGGUCCUUUCCUCUGUGUUAGUAUUUUUAUUAUUUUUUUUUACAUGAUGGAUUUCUUGGUGAACUCUGGUUAAAAAUGAAUAUUUGAUCCAAGUCUCAAGAAGAUAAAAACAAGCUCUCACUUUUCGACUCACUUUGCAGUAAAAACAGCAUAUGGACAGGUCACUGCCAAUAUCCAGCAACUGCUCGAACAUGUGGUUUCUUGAAGCAGUGUGCCUCUACGUAGUCAUUUUCACUUCCUCUCUCAAAGUGUCUUAGUCACAGUUAGAUCUCUAUAUUAAGCUUCACGAAAAUUCAAGCGAUGGCAUGAGACCGGGGGCUUUCAGUUCACAUCCCUCCCCUGCCUUAUAACCUUGAUUCCCUGUUACUCAUUUCACACAUUGUCCUCCCCCCAAUCAACCUCUCCUUCCUAUCUUUUUCCUCUCUCACCCUUUUCUCUCUCUACCACUCCUCUCUGUUUGUUCUUUUUCUCGCUCAUUUAAAUGGCACACUUUCAUUUUAAGUUGGAUCAUUUUUUUCUGCCCGAGGGGGCCGAGACAGAGAAAAAGGAGGGGGCCAUCCAUAAAGACAGAACAUAGGGGCCUCAAAUGAAGAAGCUCACACUGAAAAUUACAGCGAAAUACAGCGAGGGGAACAAGAGAGGGGGAGAGAUUUGAUGCUGUAAGUGAGCGAUAUUAGAGGAGAAGACGUGACUUCAGUAAGAAACUUUCCAGUCAUCCCUUAUCUCUUCACAGACAAUUUUAAAGCUACGCAAAGUAGGAUAGAAGUUCAGGCACAGUGCGGAAUAGUCCAGCAUAUUAGUGACUAAGUUUGACAGCUUUUUAAAGUGUGAAUAUGAUAAGUUUUGGAGCAUGAGGCGCAGUGAUUCCUGCAGCUUAACCAGGUGUUAUUUUUCAAGUCCAAGCAUAUGCCACUAGGCCUAUAUUUAGCUCUGCAUUUGAAGAUAAAACUUUAAUGAUCCCUGUGGGAAAUUUGGGCCAUUGCAGCAGCAACACAAUAAGUACUUUGUAUGAGAGUUUUGGAAAUACAGGGUCUCUGAUGUGUAGGAAUACAUUUAAAUGAAAUUCAACUUGAGGCAAGGGAAGCACCCCUUUCCUUAAGCCACAAAAUUGGAAAUUUAUAAGACCUUGGGUAUCAUUAAUAUAACAGAUUCUGCUGCUGCUCUGUAUUUAUGCAUGAGUAUACUUACAACCAAGGGAGUGUACAGAAUACAAUAAACAAACUUAAGAAAGGAACAGCCAAACGUUUUGGUUAAAUUUUGUGUUUUUACCUUCUCAGUGAGAUCAGAGAUUGAAAACCUGCUUCUUUUAAUGCAUUUAAACUGAUUCUCUCUUUGUCGCAAGAGGCCUGAGAUAGGAUAAUAUCACCAAAUAUCUUCACUGAAACAGACACAGAGGAUGUGCUUUUUUAAAUUGCCAUUUUUAGCCUUUAAAUGUUCUAUAUUUGAAUCUUUUCUUGUCUUGAUUCUGCCCUCAUCAGCUCCUGUGGAGGUUUUAAGAUCCCCGGUGUCUCUCUGUGUUCACCAGCUUGUUGCUGAUAGCGUUUCUCUGUAAUGUCUGUGUUGCAGAGAGAGGGAAAGUCUGGCAAAAGUUCACCCCCUUCAAGGUGCAUGAAGAUGAGAGCAAAGUGAGAAAAGGUCAAAACCUCACCUACACUUGUUCUAAAAAGAACAGCUUUAUCGUCAGGUUAUGCGGACGAGUGUUGGGGGGAAGUGCGGCUUCGAAAGGUGUGAGAGAUAUACAUUUUUUUCUGCUUGUCAAACCAAACAUGCCAAAGGAAGGUAAAACACUGUACAGCUGAGUCAUAACCUGUCAUAAAAUACAUGCAAAAUCCCAUUGCAUGAGGUUGUUUCAUCUAUUGUUAAAAGCAAAAUAGGGUUGUCAGAGAUAAUUGGUCUAACUGCAGUACUUGUGAUGCAAAUAAGGGUCAAGUUAAAUGCAGAAACUCCUUUUAAUUCUACAAUUUUGUCUCUUUCUGGUUCACCGCAGAUAGUUGACUGCAUCAUCCUGCUUUCUGCUGCUGGGGUUAUGGAUUAGAUUGUCAACAUGGAUAGACUGGCUUAUGGUUCAUCCUGCACAACCAGUACUCUUUACCAAAGUUGGCUUAACCAAGCAGCUUCCCAAUUCAAAGUUUGAGAACGGUUCGUGUCGGCCCCAUGACCUCCCCUUUUUAAUUAAAGGUCCUAAUGAAGUACUACUCGUGUUGGGUCGUUCAUCAACGAUUCGUUCAAAAGAACAGAACUGCUGAGUGAAUAAUGUGAACGGAAUCACUCCAAGACCUGAUUCGUUCUUUUCUCAGUUCAGUUGAGCUCAGCCGCAAUGUUGGCAUGCCGGUUGGGAGUGGAAAUUCCGCCUUUGACUCUUUGGCAAAUGACACACAGCCAGCUAGCCCGCGAGCAGAGUCUUGUGAUUUGCUCAGUGAAUGAACGGCAUGUAUCAGUCAGACUGUGAACAAAAGGAAUGACCUCCAAAUGACUGAGGCAGGCAGAGGAGGAAGAAUGUAGUGUUGUUUACGAACUGCCUAGCAACGAGAAAAUAGCACGCUAUUUGAUAUCUUUAACAGUAUCAGAAUCUGCGCUACAGCUGCGAUGUUUAUUUUGUUUCAAUCGCUCUACUUUUCUGCGGUAUAAAAGAACAACAACUCACACUCGUUUAGCGUCAGGAUGUGAAUGUCGGUGACACACAGAGAGGUGAGUUUUUCAGGGCAGGGGAGUGAUUCUUCCUUCACGACUUGGCGAAUGAACGACAUAUGUCACCUAGUGAACAGCGUGUAACUUCAGCAGCAGGAGAGGCGAGGGGCUCGUUCAAUGAAUGAACUCCCGAUCAGCGCCGCCGUGUCAUUGACUCGUGUACUGCACCCAGCAGGACAGGGCUUCGAAGCACUGACUGAUUUGGUGAGCAAAUCUUUUGAACGAAUCAUUGAAAUGAACGGGUUCUAAAGAUUCAGUUCAGUCAAAAGAACUGUUCUUCCCAUCACUAAGUACCACCUCCUAACACUGUAGAUGUAUAUGUCAUUCACACAAGUAUCUGUAGCUGUACGCUGCAGUUCCCUCUUGAUCUGAUACCAUGACUGUGCUGUAUCCCUGAAUCUUGUCAUGUCAGUGACUCUGCUUGGUUUUUUAUUGCCUGUUUUUACCUGGUAACAAAAUUCUUCCUAAAAAAAGACACAUUUCAAAAUCCUACAAUACCAAACAGUUGUUUCCACUAAUCUGUUGAAGUUCACCAGGGCUUUUUGGAGUAUUUCCUCUCUUGAUGUGGAACACGUGUGUUGCAGAGUAAUAGUAAAUCAACAGUUUUUGAUCAUGGGAAUGACAUGAGUUCUGUUCCAGGGGAUUGUAAGGAGCUUUGCGUGAACAGGAGCCAGAAACAGAUGUCACUGCUCUCUGUCACUUUUCCUGUGUGUGUGUGUGUGUUAGUAAAUGCGUGUGUGUAAGUGUUCAAAAGCCUCACGCUGCCUCUCCCUGGCUUCUGAUGGCACUCAGCCUGGCAUGCCUGGGUAAGCACUGGAUUGCUUGGCUGUAUGCCUGUGUCUGUCAGCAUGUGUGUGUGAGUGUGUAUAAGUGUGUCAGGGAAAGAUUGAGUGUGUUUGAUGACAGGAAGAAAAGUAAAGUAGAGCAAUACCAUCAUAAGAUGCUGAGUGAACCCCCUCCCUUCCCCUUCCCCAGCCUCGGCUCCAGCAGCCUCCGGUCCUCUUUCCCCUUGGCCUGCGUGUCUUUCAUGUGCCUGUUUACUCACUUGUCCAUGUAUCUGCCUUUUUCAUUUCAGAGUUUGCUCUUCUCGCUGUUUGUUUGUGUGUCUGGCCAUCCAGAGGCCUGCAUGUUUGCACACCUCUGAGCCCGUCUGCCAAACCCCCUCUCUGCCUGUCUGACCGAUCACACAUUCGAUGCUCCUGUCUCUCUUCACCAGCAUGUAUUUGCCAAUCAUAAUACAAUAUGGCUGCUUGUUUGUCUACCUGGCUACUUGCACCUGACCUUCACCUCUGUAUGUCCGUUUUUAUGUAUGUACACUGUCCAUCUUUGGAGCUUUCGCUGGGCUUUUUCAUCAGUUGCAGUCAGUUUAGAGAGAACGAGGCUCUUGUCAAUAUUGGGGGUAUUACCAAUGGUGAAUUGAGUGCAGCUCAGCCUGUACAACAAUGCAGGGUUAAUUCUCCCAUGCAAUUUUGCUAUUUCAAGAAAAUCACACCAAAACACCAAUGUAAGUGUAAGUGUAUGCUCUAUUUUCAACAUUGUCAGUGCUCGACUUUGCCGUCAGAAAGCCUCAUUCUUCUGCACUGCUUUGUGGAUGCAGUGCAUUUGUGCUCCAGAUGAGUCAUCUUCAAUUUCGCCUCUUACUCUGGUAGCUCCACGGUAUAUUUUGAUACUUGAGUUAGCAUUAUGAAACAGAAGAUUAACACCGGGCUGACACAGUAUGGGCUGUAGAAUUUAUUUCAGCUCAGUUUUUACCUUUGAGAGCCAAACAUUAACUUUGAAGAAAAAAUUGUCAAACAUUUUUUUUUUCCUUAUCUGAAUUUUAAAAAAUGGUAAAAGUCAAAGUACAGUUACUGUCUCCACACACCAAGUGCAAGUAUAAUCAUUCACGCAGAUGAAUUACAUGUUAAGUCAAUGCAAAGAUGCAAUUAGACGCUCCUACUUCUCUGGCAGCGCAAAUGACGUGACUUGGGCGGGAGCUGAAAAUGUCUCAACAAAACAGACGGCUGUUAACUGGAUAAUCUGAAAUGGAUUACAAACUGAUCAUGUCAGUGUUUGGGUGCCCCAAAUUAUAUGAUACCUUAUCUUUCAAUCACUGAAACUGGAAUAUAAAGGGGCUCACCUGGAGUCAAGUGGGUGAGGAGGUCGGAUAACCUGAAAAAUUGUAAAAAAAAACAAAAAACCUUUGUCUAUCACUUGAUCCCGCCAGUUGAAUUUUCAGGGAUUAUCAUUGAAAUUACUGUUGACGCAUGAAUAAAGCGAGUAAACACUAUUCAUUCAUGCAUCUAGAUUUGCGCAAAUUAAGCGAGUAGAUGAUUUCACUCGCGCUUGAUGUGAGCGCCCCAUUAGACUACAAGGCAGAGAGCUUUGGCUGGUGCAUGAUGCAGACUGCAGCUGUAUGUAUGCUGUUGGUAUCCUCUGAUGGAAAAAGAGCUUAUGUUGUUGGAAAGACGUCCUUGGUCCACACUAUAGGUCAUUUAAGCUUUCAAACCACCCCGUAUUAACCAGUCUAUAGACCGGGGUUUAUUUGAAGCGGACCAAAUGGCUCUGAUGUGAAUGCAAACUUGAAUGUCCUGGAAAAAAAAAAUCCAGCGCAAACAUUCAGGUGCUGAAGCAAAAAGUGUUACAACCAUCCCAGGUCUACCCAACAUUGUACACAUAGUAUAUUAACUAUAUCUAUUGUGGUGUAUAGUGACCAGCACCCAGUCAUCUGCCUAGGGUCUCAAUAACAGGGCUAAGCUGACCUUCAUUCUCUGUUUGUUAUACACCUACUCAUGGCAAGUGCUUUGUACAUCCCAACUUUAAAGUUGACUCUGUAUGCAGCAGUUGAAAGCUGGCCUCUCAACAAAGGGGCUGAGCUCACUUGGAUCCCCUGUGGUUAAUACACUAAAUGUUGACAGGUUCAUAUAGUCCCAGCCUCCCUUUAAGUCUAUUAGCUCUGUAUCCAAAAUGUUCAUCGUCAUACUCUUUGUUAAUAUCCAUUGUGUGCGUCUGCUUCUAAAUAUCUUCCUCUCUUUUCGUCAGUCUCUGCAUAACUGCUUAUCCCAACAGUUUCUGUGUCGUUGUCUGCACAGCUUGAUUCAUGUGUCGUUUCUUCAUCAUUUCCUUCUCUCUUCUCGUCUUCCAGCGCUGCCGUUGUAUGAAAUAUCAUGCUUCCCUCUAAAUCAGGAUCAUUUUCUCAGCAUGGCGACGGUGGAGGCGAGAUGGGAAGGACAAAGGUGAAGAAGAGCAACUGCUAAUCAGCAGGCAUGGGAGGAGAGGAAGAUAGGAAACAGGAGCGGAGAAUAGCAGCGUCUUAACUUUUGAAAGUUUCACCUUUUUUUUUUUCUGGCAGGGAAGGAUUGGGGAGAGACAGGGAGGGCCGGGGAGAAAAAGAGGGACACAAAACGGGGGAGACUAAGUGGAUUAGAAUAAAGGACGGAAGGAAAGAGAGGAAGAGAGAAACAUCAAAGCUGGUGAGCGAAAAUGGUGUCUGGCACAGGAGAGAGAGGAGGAGAGAUGCAGAAUGAGGCUAAAAAAGAACUCAGAGUACUAUUACUUAUCAAAAAGGCUGACAGCGGGCUUAAGUUAGCUGUCUGACAGCUCUAACUAAAGAUCUGAACCCACCGUCAGUCCCUGUGGUCUAUCAAAAACUCAGAAUAGAUCCAGCAUCCAUUUGGGCUCUAAAGACAAAAGAAUGUGCUUAAAUUUCAUCAUUAAUUUGAUUUUAAGAAACUGUUCUUGCACAAAGCUUGGGUUCAAGUGCGUGUCAUGAAUCACUCCGUACAAUCUUUAUUUUCAGCAUGCAUUGUGCUUUCAAUGCCCCCUAUUAGUCAUUGCCAGAGACGGGAGAGAGAAAGUGGGUUUGGCAUAACAAUAACUUGGGAAUAAAAUAGACUGCGAGGAUGAGCAUUGGCUGACGUGCAUUAAAAUACCCUCUCAGACUAGUCAUCGUUUGGCACUGCAACCAAAAAGUUUCUGUAGAUCUGCUAACUCGACCUGUGGCUUUAGGACCAAAUUAGAAAACAUAAAAAACACACGCAAGCACAUGCCAUUAAGACUUUCAAGGAAAAACCCUGAGGGGAAUAAUAGCCUCAGAAAAGUAUAAAAGCUGUGACAGGAGUACAGAAAUCAAUGUGUCAAAUCAUGCUGUGGCCUUUGGGUGAAAUAUGCCUCAACCAGAAUAAAGUACUUUCCUCCCAGAGGACCUCAAACCUGUAGUACUGUCCCCGGUGGUUGCUUUCUUCAACCUCAAGCUGGCAGACGACAUGUUGGGAAGUACACAGGUGGAGAUGUAGGAACUUUCCUCAUGUUACACUGUAGCUUUGAUUGUAUUUUUAGCAAUAUAUCAACUGUUUGCUUCGGGGUGUAUUUAGAAUAAAAUCCCUGAAGCAAAAUUCUGUCACAUCAGAACCACAUAAGGUACUUAGGAUGCAUUUGGGUUUAUUUUCAUCUUUGCACCAUGGCAAGUCAUUUCAUUUCGUAUAAGAUGAUAAUCCCCUGUUUACCUAGAAACAGAAAAAAAAUCCUAAACUUCCCACCUCUGAAUUCCUUAACUGUAAUCCAUUGAGAGUGAUGAUAUUGAAUGUACUGCACCAGCUUCUUUGAAUUCAUUCUUCUGAUGGUUGAAACAGGAGGCCC